rnacentral:lncRNA from 10 species
AUAAAAUUUACCUUGAAGGAAAAAAAUAUUGAACACUAGCUAAUGGCAUGUGUGCAAAGUGUUUAGGGGGAAGUAUGCUGAGAAGUCUGCAACUUUCCUUGAAAUACAUUCCCCCAAAAUAAGAUGGAUUGGAUGGUUACAGAGAUGGAUAGAUGGAAAAUAAGUAUAAGUAAUAGGUUAAUGGUAGAAUCGAGGUAGUGGGCAUAAGGGUGUUUUCUGUAAAAUAUCUUUGCAUGGAAUAAGGAUUCUAUUUUUUUAGAAUAAACAAUGACAAAAAUACAAUCAUGUAUGUGUGUGGGUAGCUACCCAAAUAACCCCAUAUAGUUCUAUGACCAUGAAGAUAAUUAUAUAAAGAGCCUGGGGGAUGGAGGUGGAGAAGCGCGAGGUGAAAGGUGAGGGUGAAUAUACUCAUGCACACAAAGAGAUGCAAGAAGCAUGGGCCUCAACACAGCAUCAACAGACAGGGCUAGCACAGUUCCAGAUCACUGUAAUUUCUUUACGAACAAGACCUUGUCUCAAUUUUAAAAAGAAGAGGGUGCAAGGUGGCCUUUUGACAAGGGACUGAUCCCGAAAGGAGCCUAUAAGGGUUAUGGGGCAUGGAACGGUGCUGACGUGUGGGCACAGAACAGAGCUCUUCUACCACUCCUGGGCCAAAGGGCAAGGGCAGGCAGCCGUUCCCGUGCCUGGGGAUGGAGGGCUCCAGGAGGGACCUUCCCCAACCAGAGCUGAGACCGGGCUCUGAGGGAAGCCGCCCACUCAGGCCCCUCUGGGAGAAGAGGCCAAGGAAGGCUUCCAGUGCUUCAGGCUUCUAGGAUCUACACCAGCAGCAGCGGUAGCAGCCUACCCAGGUCCUGCUUGCAUCCGCCUGCAACGUGGAGUGAGAUUCUAACCUCAGUCUGUAAACAACCGCUCUUAUGCCAGGUGACAUCCUGACAUGUAUGUCACUGUGACAGCUGACAAUGAAGUGGCGUUUUUUUUUCAGCACCUCUCUAUAAAAAGCUGCCUCACCUGGGCAACCUGAGUGCCAGUUGGCGAUUUUAUUGUUGCUAUUUAUUAUUGCAUGAUUUUUUAAAAAGAUAUUUUUGUAAUUUUUUAAAAAUGUAAACUGGCUAUCUAGAUAAUACGUUUGCAUUCCAAUUAAUUACUGCCAGGAGAAUGAAAGUCCUGUUUAAACUAACUUUGGCUUAUUGGAUGGGAUGUUUUCUGCUAUGAUUAACAGACAAGAAAAAAAUACAUAUAUAUAACAACACACUCAUCCAUGGUGUUUCUAAAGAAAAUAUCAUUUCUUAACACGAAAAAUGGUAUUUAUAGCAACUUAGUUUUUUGUUUUACUGUACCAGUUGUGUGAGAAUUUUCUUAAAAACUUCCUAAGCCUGAGUCUCAUAGCCUUGUCACUAAUUAACUGUUCCACUCAUUUAAACAUUUGCUUGCCUUUGAACCUGGGCCCUAUG